UCGAAAAAAUAUGGAUCUUAACUCUGGAGUGGUAAAGUGGAGUCGAUUUGGCUCCUCCCCAAUAGAAUUCAGAAUCUGCUUAUUUCGAAAGAGGCGGAGCAUCCAUCUUCCAUCUAUGCUAUCUACUAAUCUUGAGACAGUUGAAGAUCUCGUACUCUCCAUGUCCUUACUAUUUACCGUCCCUAUUUCAGGCCAUAAUGUGUAGCCAUUCAAGCACCUUGUUUUCAUCCGGCGUUUUGUAAAAAAAAUCUCAUUCGAUAAUAACAAGCAGAUGAGACCCAAAUGGAUAUUUUUGAGUAUAACUGAAAAGAUUUUGUUUUGAAGCAAACACUUCUUGGAAAAUUCCAAACCUUUCCAAGAAUUCAAAAAUGUGGCAAUCAUUAAAAUGUUUGCCACAUUUCAAAAAUUACUGACGUUAAAAAUAUCAACAACUUUUCUUGGCUCAAUAUGAUCACCUUCGGCACUGGCGACGUUAAAUAUAAUUCUUUAUUUUUCUCGGAUUCUUACAUGAUUUCUUACUUUUUUUUUUUUCAAAAUUCUUAUAGCGUUAAAAAAUUCGAUAAAAGAUCUACCUUUUAAAUGAAUCCUUAAAAUCGUUUUCAGUGUACAUAGUUAUUAUCUGAAAUUCGGAAGAUAUAUGAACUUCAAUCCACAUUUCAUCCUAACAU